UACGUAGGGGCCAAGCGAUGUCCGGAAUCAUUGGGCGUAAAGGGCGUGUAGGCGGUCUGAUAAGUCAGAUGUUAAAUCUACGAGCUCAACUCGUAGCCGCAUCUGAUACUGUCAGGCUAGAGAAUGGUAGAGGAAAGCGGAACUUCCGGUGUAGCGGUGAAAUGCGUAGAUAUCGGAAGGAACACCAGUGGCGAAGGCGGCUUUCUGGGCCAUUUCUGACGCUGAGACGCGAAAGCUAGGGGAGCGAACGGG
rnacentral:rRNA from 1 species